rnacentral:lncRNA from 1 species
ACUUGUUAAUCAAAGCCAACAGGUUGUUUCUUUUCCCCACUUCUUGUUGGGCUGCUGUGUGCCAAACACUGAUGCUUUAGGAUGAAGGGACCACAAGGCCACAGAGGCCCUGGCAGAGACUUUGUAAACAAUGAAAAGUCAGUGGGUGCUUGUGUUUGCAGCUGUCUGGUGGCAGAGUGCAGAAGUGUUUCCACUGCAGCGUGAUGUAGGCUGGAACUCUGCCACCUGAGACAUGUUUAAUUCAGCGGUUGCUCUAGAGGAGGCCUGCACAGUGGAACAGGCGAGGAGCUGCUGUGUGUUCAGGCCUGGAACAUGGCAGGGGUCCAAGGAACAUAAGGAAAACAGGAAGUGCCUUCUGCCUGCCCCUCUACAUGGAGGAGUACAAAAAAGGUAUUGUGUGACAUUGACCCUCCAGUUUCCUGUUUUUUCUGCGUACUCUACCUUUUUGCAGCCAGGCGCUUCUUACGAGGAGUUGACUACCUCCUCAGACAUCUCACUUUAAUGAGCACAGCCAGUGUUCCCACUAGUUCAGCCGGUGCGGAUUCGUCAGCUUAAGGAGAAAUCCACUGAUUUUCUGCACGCAAUUCGCAACUGUACACCGCAGACCGACUUACCGCACUGCAUUUAUACUUUCGCAUUCACAAGUGAAACAUCAGUUCCAGUUGAAAUCUGGAUCUGAGGGAAAAACAACUAGUUGAGUAAGAAUGUGCUGAUUUGCACAAUUUAAACGAAUGGUCAGGAAGUAUGUCUCUUCUAGCUUGUCCUUUAUCUCCUGUCGCCUGUACAUCGGUGCUGUGUGUACUGUGCUGUGUGGUGUUCCUAAGCAGCGGCCCUCCUCUUCUUCCAGGAAUCGUGUUUUGACCAGAUGCUGAACUGCACUUGAAGCGCUGAUGUAGGCAGGCGGAGGGUGAGCCGUGACGUCCCGCUGAUGAGCCCCGCACCCGGCGCAUGAUCGCGAUGCCUGCGUUCCGUCGGCGAGGGUUCUGGCCUCAGCGGUUUCCCCCUUUUAGCCGAUUAAAAAUAUUUUCAGACAGAAGCCACUUUUCCAUGUGAACUGGAAAUACUUUAAACACAUAAUGUGAGCAAAUGGUUAAUGCAGAAUGUGUGUAUGUACAGUAUAUUAAAUGAAAUGACACUGACUCUAAGCUGUUGAUGUUGACCAGGUCGCUGUAAGCGAGAGCACAAGGCAGGAUAAUCAUGGACUGGCAGGGCGCUCAUUCUGAGUCAUACACACAUAGUGGUGAACCCGAUUCAGAGAAAUCUACAUAAACGGAUUCCAGACCUUGAAUAACGUUUUAAUGCUGUUAAGAUCAAAUUUAACAGUGAAUUAUAGUAACUAAUUAUAUAAGCAUGGCCCCCGGUUUUCUCGUGUGCAGGUUCUCCCCAUGUUGCUGUCAGCGUCCUCCAACGGUCCGAAGACGUGAUGUUUAAGUGGAAGGGCUGCUUGAACCUGCCCUUGGUGUGGGUACGAGGGUGCCCCGUGAUGCAGUGGCGUUCCAGCU